rnacentral:ncRNA from 2 species
AGCUUCCUUCGGGGUCAGGUGAAAUUCCUAACCGGCGGUGAUCGGGACGGCACAGAUAGAUCGGACAACCGAAAUUCUGUGCCUCUCGUCAGUCCGUGACCCGGUUUAAUGAGCUUUCUUCUCGAUUAAUUUCGAGAGAAAGUGAAUUGAAACGGUGGACCUGGUGUAAAUCCGGGACCGACAGUAAAGUCUGGAUGGGAGAAGGGGAUG